rnacentral:rRNA from 1 species
AACGAACGCUGGCGGCAUGCCUAACACAUGCAAGUCGAACGAGACCUUCGGGUCUAGUGGCGCACGGGUGCGUAACGCGUGGGAACCUGCCCUUAGGUUCGGAAUACCUCCCCGAAAGGGGUGCUAAUACCGGAUAAUGUCUUCGGACCAAAGAUUUAUCGCCUUUGGAUGGGCCCGCGUUGGAUUGGCUAGUUGGUAGGGGAAAAGCCUACCAAGGCGACGAUCCAUAGCUGGUCUGAGAGGAUGAUCAGCCACACUGGGACUGAGACACGGCCCAGACUCGUACGGGAGGGAGCAGUGGGGAAUAUUGGACAAGGGGCGAAAGCCUGAUACAGCAAUGCCGCGUGAGUGAUGAAGGCCUUAGGGUUGUAAAGCUCUUUUACCCGGGAUGAUAAUGACAGUACCGGGAGAAUAAGCUCCGGCUAACUCCGUG